rnacentral:sRNA from 1 species
GGGAGGAUGGGGGUCUCUUCUCCGAGAAGCCGGGAGCCUGUUGGGCAGCCGGCGCCCGGUCUCCCCUUCUGCUGCGGAGGAUCCCUGCUGGCGGUCGUGGUGCUGCUCGCGCUGCCGGUGGCCUGGGAUCAAUGCAAUGUCCCGGAAUGGCUUCCAUUUGCCAGGCCUACCAACCUAACUGAUGAGUUUGAGUUUCCCAUUGGGACAUAUCUGAACUAUGAAUGCCGCCCUGGUUAUUAUGGAAGACCAUUUUCUAUCAUCUGCCUAAAAAACUCAGUCUGGACAAGUGCUGAGGACAAGUGCAAACGUAAAUCAUGUCGUAAUCCUCCAGAUCCUGUGAAUGGCAUGGUGCAUGUGAUCAAAGACAUCCAGUUCGGAUCCCAAAUUAAAUAUUCUUGUACUAAAGGAUACCGACUCAUUGGUUCCUCGUCUGCCACAUGCAUCAUCUCAGGCAACACUGUCAUUUGGGAUAAUAAAACACCUGUUUGUGACAGAAUUCCUUGUGGGCUACCCCCCAACAUCACCAAUGGAUAUUUCAUUAGCACCGACAGAGAGUAUUUUCACUAUGGAUCAGUGGUGACCUACCGCUGCAAUCUUGGAAGCAGAGGGAGAAAGGUGUUUGAGCUCGUGGGUGAGCCCUCCAUAUACUGCACCAGCAAAGGUGAUCAAGUGGGCGUCUGGGCGUCAGUGCAUUAUACCUAACAAAUGCACGCCUCCAAAUGUGGAAAAUGGAAUAUUGGUAUCUGACAACAGAAGCUUAUUUUCCUUAAAUGAAGUUGUGGAGUUUAGGUGUCUGCCUGGCUUUGUCAUGAAAAGACCCCCUCCCCGUGUGCAAUGCCAGGCCCUGAACAAAUGGGAGCCGGAGCUACCAAGCUGCUCCAGGGGUGAGUCUGACUGAGGCCUAGAAGGGCCCUGCCA